rnacentral:lncRNA from 1 species
AAGCGUUUUCUACCUACCUGAGUAGGCCGCGUCUGCGUGUUUAUAUAGGAUGGAAACAGCCUCCAUCACGGCAUGUACAGGAUCUGAUUGUUACAUACGUGGGAAACAAGAAGGAAAGUACAAAUACGAUUUGGUUUUAUCUCUAACCAAAACCGUGUACAAGAUAUGGACUCUAGAAUAUUUUCGUUAACAGCCCACCUCAAUCACACUUUGGUAAGAGUGAGAUUGCGCCGAAACUCUUCUAGAUUCCGUACUGGUAAAGCUUUUGUGAACCCAUCUGCAACCUGAUCCUUUGAAGAUACAAAUUGUAUUUGAAGAAGUUUCUUCGCUACCCUUUCUCUGACAAAGUGGUAAUCAAUUUCAAUAUGCUUAGUACGAGCAUGAAAAACAGGAUUAGCUGAGAGAUAGGUCGCCCCAAGAUUAUCACACCACAAGCACGGAGGUUGUCUUGUAGACAUACCCAAUUCUCUGAGUAAUGACUGCACCCAAAUGAUUUCAGCUGUUGCAUUUGCUAAUGCCUUAUACUCUGCUUCAGUACUUGACCGAGAUACAGUGGCUUAUUUUCUGGCACUCCAGGAUAUUAGAUUCGAUCCAUAAAAUAUAGCAAACCCUCCUGUUGAUCUUCUAUCAUCAACACAUCCUGCCCAAUCUGCAUCUGAGAAGGCACUUACCAAUGUAGAUGGUGUCUUCCUAAAUGCAAGACCUAUAUCUAUGGUGAACUUAACAUAUCUGAGAACUCUCUUUACUGCUGUCCAAUGAACAGUAGUUGGCGCAUGCAAGUAUUGACAAACUUUAUUGACUGAAAAAGAAAUGUCAGGUCUUGUAAGAGUCAAAUAUUGCAAUGCUCCAACAAUACUCCUGUACCUUGUACUGUCAUCUGGUCCAAGAGGUUCACCAUCAUAGGCUGACAAUUUUUCAGUGCUUGAUAGAGGGGUUGGUGAUGGUUUGCAAUCUUUCAUGCCAACUCUGGUCAAGAUUUCUGAAGCAUAUUUAUGUUGUGUUAAUACAAUACCAUCCUGAGUUUUCUUUACCUCAAUCCCAAGGAAGAAGUGUAAAUCUCCCAAGUCCUUCAAUGCAAAGCUAGAGCUCAAGUCCUGCAACAAUGCUGAAACUGCUUCCUGAGAGGAGCUGGUUACAAUAAUGUCAUCAACAUAUAUGAGCACAAAUAUUGUCACCCCGGACUUAUUAAAGAUAAAUAGGGAGGUGUCGGCCUUUGAAGGGAAAAAUCCCAAUUCCUGCAGUCUCAAGCUUAAGCGAGAGUACCAUGCUCUUGGAGCUUGCUUGAGUCCAUAAAGAGCCUUAUCUAGCUUGCACACAUGAAAGGGUGAGUUUUUGUCUUCAUAACCAGGUGGUUGUCUCAUGUAGACUUCUUCUUCCAGAACACCAUGAAGGAACGCGUUCUCCACAUCUAGCUGCCUUAAGCUCCAUCUCCUGGAUACAGCAGUAGACAAAACAAGUCUGAUAGUAGCAGCUUUAACUACUGGACUGAAUGUAUCCUCAUAGUCUAUUCCAUAUCUUUGCUUGAAUCCUUUUGCUACUAAUCUAGCUUUAUAUCUAUCUAUAUUGCCAUCAGCUUUCUUUUUUAUUCUAUAAACCCAUUUACAAUCAAUAACAUUUUUUCGAUGAUUGGCUGGAACUAAGUGCCAAGUCUUAUUCUUCAUUAAUGCUGAAUACUCAACAUCCAUAGCCUUUCUCCAGUUUGUAUUGUUUAAGGCCUCUUGCACAUUUUGCGGCUCUCCUGUUUCACAAAACGAUGCAUAUUUGACCUUAAAAUUUUUCUCAUAGAGUACUGUACCGUCUGAGGGGAGUAGUGGUUUUGAGAUGCCUGAUUUAGAGCGUGUGCGCCCUCUCACGAUAGCACCAGUUGGGACUGGUCCAGAUCCAGCCGUAGAAGAUCCGGAGCCCACCUGGCGAUCAGCCACAGAAGAUCCAGCGCCCACCUCGUUAGCGGACGCAGGUGAUCCCGAAAUCGAACCAUCCUGGCGAUCGUUGUCGCUGACGUCCACUGCAGCAGGUGAAUCAGGCCCAGGCGGCCCAGGUGGAGACGGGGCAUUGGCGCCUGGCGAGCCAGCUGGCCCAGAAGACGCAGCGCGCACUCGCGUGCGGUCGGGGGAGCGCCCAGGCGGCCCAGGUGAAGACGGGGCAUUGGCGCCUGGGGAGCCAGCGGGCCCGGAGCGGUCGGGGAAGCGCUCGACAGCCGUCCGCAUGUCGCCUCCUGAUUGCCCGCGCGUGCAGCUCGGAUUUGCAGCCUCUGCGCCGCCCGUGUCUGCUGCUGCAGGGCGAUCUGCCUGGGAUCGCGCGCCAGGAUCACCUCCGUGUCCUGUGCCUGUGUCCUCAUCUGCAGCAUAAAAUAAAGGAUCAUUUCUUGCCAAAUUUAGCCUGGUUUCGACGUGGUUUUCGCCCAGAUUUUUUUGUAUGGGUUCUGCACCUCCUGUGUUAUUCCCUGCAUCAGUUUGGUCAGUAACAUAUGCCAUAUUUUGAUCAUCACAGUUAUUAUCACCCCCAUGAUCAAAGGAUGAAGGAUUUUUAAGAGAUUCUGGUAGGAGGGAGAUUUCUUUCCUAAGUAGAGCUCCUGCAUUGGGAUGAAGCGAAGCAAAAGGAAAAACAGUCUCAUCAAAUACCACGUCGCGAGAAAUAUAAAUGCGACCCGUGGAGACAUCGAGACAUUUAACUCCUUUGUGACGAGGACUAUAGCCUAAGAAAACGCAUUGUUUGGAGCGGAAGGAUAAUUUCCGAGUGUUGUAUGGGCGCAAGUUAGGCCAACAUGCGCAACCAAAAACACGGAGCGAUGCAUAGUUAGGCUUGGUGUGAAAUAGACGUUCAAAGGGAAUGUCAAAAUUGAUAGCACUACUUGACAGAAUAUUAAUGAGAUAGGUGGCUGCUAAGAAGGCUUCAUCCCAGAAUUUAAGUGGCAUGGAUGCAUUGGCUAGGAGGGCGAGACCGACUUCAACAAUGUGUCUGUGUUUUCUCUCUGCCGACCCAUUUUGUUGAUGAGUGUGAGGGCAGGAGACAUGAUGUGAGAUCCCAAUCUUUUGAAAGAAAGGGUUUAGUUUCUCGUAUUCACCGCCCCAAUCAGAUUGGACAGCGAGAAUUUUGCGGCCGAAUUUUCGUUCAACAUGUGCUUGGAAAUUGCGAAAAACCUCAAAAACAUCGGAUUUAUUUUUAAUAAGAUAGAUCCAAGUAAAUUUACUGUAAUCAUCGAUCAAACUAACAUAAUAUUUGUGUCUACCAACAGAAAUAGGAGCAUCACCCCAUACAUCAGAGAAUACUAACUCAAGAGGAACAGUAGACACACUUGUGGACACUUGAUAAGGUAACUGAUGACUCUUUGCUCUUUGGCAAGAAUCACAAACAGACUCAAGGUUUAGCUCUCCAUGACAAGGGAGCUUAUUAUUCCUAAGCACACGUUGAACAAUAGAAAAAGAUGGAUGGCCAAGACGAUCGUGCCACCGUGUUGGAGAUAGCUUGAUGGCACCGAAGGCUUGUUUAUUCGACGUCCUAAUUGGAAUCAAUGGAUAGAGGCCUCCCCUACAUCUGCCUCGAUAGAGAAUUCUCCCCGUUGUUUGGUCCUUAAUCACAAAAAAAGUAGGCCAAAACUCAAGAUAAGCAUGAUUGUCAACAGCAAUUUUAUGCACUGAAAGGAGAUUUUUAGAUGCGUGGGGGACAUGCAAGAUAUUUCUGAGAUGAAUUCGAUCAUUGAGAGUGUUAAUAACCGAAUGACCAAUAUGGGAUAUGUCCAUACCUGAACCAUCAGCGGUGUGGAUCUGAUCGGUGCCGCGGUAGUUGUCGCGGACGGUGAGCUUCUCUAGCUCUCCGGUGAUGUGAUUUGUCGCCCCGCUGUCGGCGUACCAGUUGGUGUCCACCCCGUAGGAGGACAGGUUGGCGGCGCCCGCUGACUUCUCUUCUGGAAGGUAAUCGUCGGUGAAGCGGUACCAGCAGUCCAUGGCCGUAUGGCCUGACUUGCCGCAGAUCUGGCAAGUCGGACGGUUGUUGUUGAUGUUGCCUGUACGUCCACCCCUGUUGUUGUUGUUGAAGGGAUGGGCGUUGUUGUUGCCGUUGGUGCUGCUGCCACCCCUCGUGUGGCUACUGCCACGGCCUCCGCCGCGACCACGAGGAGCGCCACGGCCACGCCCGCGCCCUCGUGCAGCCAUGUUAGCCGAGGACUUGAAGCCGGAGUUGGUCCCUUGCAGCAGCUCGACCCGUUGAUCGAAAUUCGCCAUCUGUCCAUAGAGAGCAUCAAGAGAUACAGGAGUAGUCUGCGCAUCAAGGGCAGAGACUAAUGGGGUGUAGUCCAUAUCGAGGCCAGCAAGGAUAAACGAGAUGAGCUCAUCCUCGCCAACUGGUUUUCCAGCAGCAGCAAGCUCAUCGGCGAAACCUUUCAUCCGGGCAAAGUAGGCCGGGACAGAUUGGUUCCCCUUCUGAGCAUUGGCGAGGGAGAUACACAGAUUGUUGAUGCGGGAUCGGGAGUGAGAUGAAAACAUGUUGGUGAGGGCACUCCAUACCGCGUGUGAGGUCUCCAGAUGAAGAACCUGAACGAGUACCUCCUUGGACAGCGAGUUGAUGAUGUAGGACAGGACCUGCUGAUCCUGCCCUCUCCAGGCGAUGAAGUCGGGGUUGGGGACGGAGGUGACCUUGCCCUCCUUGUCCGUGGUCGAGAUCUUCUCUUCUGGUGCCGCGACGGAUCCAUCUAGGUACACGUACAACCCAGCGCCCCUGAUCUGCGGAAGCACCUGGGCCUUCCAUAGCAGAUGGUUCUCACGAGUAAGCUUCUCGGAGAUUUGGUUGGAGUAGAGAGCCGGCGCCGUGGUACUGGAGGACGCCAUGGAUGGAAGGUGGAGGAAAGGAUGGAAACUAGAUGUGUUUUGGAAGGUUGGCUCUGAUUACCAUGUAAAUUUGGUAAGCGUUUUCUACCUACCUGAGUAGGCCGCGUCUGCGUGUUUAUAUAGGAUGGAAACAGCCUCCAUCACGGCAUGUACAGGAUCUGAUUGUUACAUACGUGGGAAACAAGAAGAAGGAAAGUACAAAUACGAUUUGGUUUUAUCUCUAACCAAAACCGUGUACAAGAUAUGGACUCUAGAAUAUUUUCGUUAACACCUCAACCAAGACGCCUGCCGGGUAUGAAGCCGCCGCAGCCACCCACCACCAAUCCAUCUUCAGAGCUAUACUGCUGCAUCUAUCUUGGCUGGUCUAGCUGCCGCCAACGCCACCACGACACCAGACAACGAUCCAUUGCCGGGCGAAGCGGCAGUAAUCCAGUGCCUACCUAGGCUUGCAACCUAAAAACGCAAGGAAAAGAUCAUAUCCCCACGACAAGUUUUUCGUGAAACAUUCCCUAAAAAAAGUUUUUCAGGAAACAUCAGGCAGUGACACAUUAAUCCUGAAUUACCUGCCGCAUGUUGUAGACGGUCAUGGCGAAGCUCACAAC